rnacentral:misc_RNA from 1 species
AACGCACGAGACCUGCGGACCUGCGGAAGGAUCAUUACAGAGUUGCAAAACUCCCAAACCAUUGUGAACGUUACCUUCUCGUUGCUUCGGCGGGCGGCCCGGGUCCUUCCCGGCGCCCCCCGGCCCCUCGCGGGCGCCCGCCGGAGGUAAACCAAACUCUUGAAUUGUAUGGCCUCUCUGAGUCUUCUGUACUGAAUAAGUCAAAACUUUCAGCAACGGAUCUCUAGAUCGGAAGAGCAC